GUGCUUGCUUUGGCAGCACAUAUAUUAAAAUUGGAAUAGUACAGAGAAGAUUAGCAUGGCCCCAAGCAAGGAUGACACAUAAAUUCAUGAAGUAUUCCAUAUUACA
ensembl:snRNA U6 U6 spliceosomal RNA